UACGGAAGGCAGCAGUGGGGAAUAUUGCACAAUGGGCGCAAGCCUGAUGCAGCUAUGCCGCGUGUAUGAAGAAGGCCUUAGGGUUGUAAAGUACUUUCAUCGGGGAGGAAAAAACAAAACUAAUAAUUUUAUUUUCUUGACGUUACCCGAAAAAGAAGCACCGGCUAACUCCGUGCCAGCAGCCGCGGUAAUACGGAGGGUGCUAGCGUUAAUCAGAAUUACUGGGCGUAAAGAGCACGUAGGUGGUUUUUUUAAGUUCAGAUGUGAAAUCCCUGGGCUUAACCUAGGAACUGCAUUUUGAAACUGAAAUACUAGAGUAUCGUAGAGGGAGGUAGAAUUCUAGGUGUAGCGGUGAAAUGCGUAGAUAUCUGGAGGAAUACCUGUGGCGAAAGCGGCCUCCUAAACGAAUACUGACACUGAGGUGCGAAAGCGUGGGGAGCAAACAGGGAUUAGAUACCCGU
rnacentral:rRNA from 1 species